ensembl:lncRNA
AAAAAAAAAGGAAAAGAUGGAAAAUUGCCAGAACUGUACACAGAACAUCAAGAAAUUCAUCAGUUCAGAGAUCCAAGGUCUUAAGAGAGAAGUACAUGAUGGUUCCCACCCUUGAAGGAAAGUGGUUGCAAAAGUGAUAUGAGGAGAUCAAAAGACAAGAAGUAUCUGGAAAAGCUGGUUGCCAUUUGUGCUAGAAUAAAGAAAUACUCAUUUUUGAAGACGGUGCUAGUCAGUCUAUUAAGAUAAUACUCCUCUCAGUUCUACUGAAAAUAUGUGUAUAACUGAUGUGUAUUCUCCUUUUAUAGACAGGAUAAUGAAAAGACAAUGAAAAUAUAUCCAAAUUGACAAAGAGGGUUUGUUUCUUGCUACUGUUUCUUGCUACUGUGCAGAAUGGAGUGCAUGCACCUAUGAAACUCACAUCUCCUUCCCUUCUCCCUGAGAAGUUGAAUUCACAGCAGAUGGAUCCACUGGCAGUACUUAAUCUGGGGAGAGAGAUGUUUUCCGAAGGUCAGAGGAGCCCUUGGAUUUUCAGGGAGCCUAACAUGUCCCACAAGAGGGAGAGCACUCCCUUUUGAAAAUGGCAAGCUCUCUGCCCUGCUUCAUCAGCGUUGGCUUCCCUCCAGCUGCAGCAGAAGGCAGCAGGGAUGUGAGACUCCUGAACCUGCCUGCACCUCCUGAUUCUGUAACAGCUUGACCUGAGACUGCUAUCCCAUGUCUGUGCAACGAACUUCCUCACUGUUGCAGUCCCAGUCCCUUCAGCACUUAAAAACUGCUGCAGAAUAUGCACUCCACAUC